ACACUUAGAAAUAGGUGCUAAUACCGCAUAAGCGCACAGGGGCGCAUGCCCCGGUGUGAAAAACUCCGGUGGUAUAUGAUGGACCCGCGUCUGAUUAGCCAGUUGGCAGGGUAACGGCCUACCAAAGCGACGAUCAGUAGCCGGCCUGAGAGGGCGGACGGCCACAUUGGGACUGAGACACGGCCCAAACUCCUACGGGAGGCAGCAG
rnacentral:rRNA from 1 species